GGGGAAUAUUGCACAAUGGGCGAAAGCCUGAUGCAGCGACGCCGCGUGAGUGAUGAAGGCCUUAGGGUUGUAAAGCUCUUUCAGUGGGGACGAUAAUGACGGUACCCACAGAAGAAGCCCCGGCUAACUUCGUGCCAGCAGCCGCGGUAAUACGAAGGGGGCUAGCGUUGUUCGGAUUUACUGGGCGUAAAGCGCACGUAGGCGGAUCGUUAAGUCGGGGGUGAAAUCCUGGAGCUCAACUCCAGAACUGCCUUCGAUACUGGCGAUCUUGAGUCCGGAAGAGGUGAGUGGAACUCCUAGUGUAGAGGUGGAAUUCGUAGAUAUUAGGAAGAACACCAGUGGCGAAGGCGGCUCACUGGUCCGGUACUGACGCUGAGGUGCGAAAGCGUGGGGAGCAAAC
rnacentral:rRNA from 1 species